rnacentral:rRNA from 1 species
UACGAGGGGGGCGAGCGUUGUUCGGAAUUAUUGGGCGUAAAGGGCGCGUAGGCGGUUGAUAAGUCUUGUGUGAAAUCUUCGGGCUCAACUCGAAGUCUGCACGAGAAACUAUCUGGCUUGAGUGUGGGAGAGGUGAGUGGAAUUCCUGGUGUAGCGGUGAAAUGCGUAGAUAUCAGGAGGAACACCUGUGGCGAAAGCGGCUCACUGGACCACAACUGACGCUGAGGCGCGAAAGCUAGGGGAGCAAACAGG